GCGAGAGUGGUGAAAUUGGUAUACGCACUGGAUUUAGGAUCCAGCGCCUUCGGGCUUGCGGGUUCAAAUCCCGCCUCUCGCACCA
rnacentral:tRNA from 1 species